GCGAACUAAUUGAGAAGGGCUUCCGGGAUUUGUUUCGGGGGCCUUUUUCUUUGCCGUGUGAGUUUGGCCUGUUCACC
rnacentral:misc_RNA from 1 species